rnacentral:rRNA from 1 species
CCUACGGGAGGCAGCAGUGAGGAAUAUUGGUCAAUGGCCGGAAGGCUGAACCAGCCAAGCCGCGUGAAGGACGAAGGUGCCAAGCAUUGUAAACUUCUUUUGUCAAGGGACAAAAUCAGGCUCGAGAGCCUGACCGAGGGUACUUGAAGAAAAAGCAUCGGCUAACUCUGUGCCAGCAGCCGCGGUAAUGCGGAGGAUGCGAGCGUUAUCCGGAUUUAUUGGGUUUAAAGGGUGCGUAGGCGGAGUGUCAAGUCAGCGGUAAAAUUUCGGGGCUCAACCCCGUCGUGCCGUUGAAACUGACGCCC